rnacentral:rRNA from 1 species
GAUACGUAUUAGGCAUCAACCUUUCCUCCUCGCUGAAAGUGCUUUACAACCCGAAGGCCUUCUUCACACACGCGGCAUGGCUGCAUCAGGGUUUCCCCCAUUGUGCAAUAUUCCCCACUGCUGCCUCCCGUAGGAGUCUGGACCGUGUCUCAGUUCCAGUGUGGCUGAUCAUCCUCUCAGACCAGCUAGGGAUCGUCGCCUUGGUGAGCCAUUACCUCACCAACUAGCUAAUCCCACCUGGGCAUAUCCAAUCGCGCAAGGCCCGAAGGUCCCCUGCUUUCCCCCGUAGGGCGUAUGCGGUAUUAGCAGUCGUUUCCAACUGUUAUCCCCCUCGACUGGGCAAUUUCCCAGGCAUUACUCACCCGUCCGCCGCUCGCCGGCAAAAGUAGCAAGCUACUUUCCCGCUGCCGCUCGACUUGCAUGUGUAG